GCAAAGAUUUUUAACGGUCAAAUAUGAAAGUGGUUAAACACAUUAGUUAGUCAGGGUUUAUUUAACGCAGAUCACAGACGAUUAUUGUUGUUUGGAAGUAAAAUAUAAAUAAUAAAAUUUUAAAAUCAUGUAUGGGUCUAUAGCAAGGGUCUCAAACCUCAGGCCUGGGGGUCCAUCUCCUGCCCUUCAACCUCACCUGGCCUGCAAGUAAUGGUCAUACUGCCUAGAAGUUUCUUCUACAUUUCCAUAUUUUUAAUAGUUGUCUUAAUCCUAUUCCACAAAGUGGCAGUAGAUGGCUAUAGAAAUGAGAGAUUCAGAGCGGUUGAAGAUGUCUCUGUUUUUCUUUAAUUCCCUGUAAGUAUAUCAAGGUUGUGUUCAACUAAACAGGCCCAGGUUACAACUAAAACUCAUUGCAUUACAUUGCACUGCUUCAAAUUGGCUGAAAUAGCAUUCAUAUUUAUAUACAGUACAUAUUGAUUAAUUUGUAAAAAUGUAAUUAGAUAUUUUCAUUUAUUCAUAAAAUGUCAAAUAAACCAAAGAAGAUGUUUUCGUGUUUAUAAAAAGUGAGACAUUUCCUCUGGGGCUGCUGUCUGUGACUAACAUGAACCCAGUGUCUCUGUGAAAGUUGUAACAUUUUACAAUAUCACCAGCUGUAAUAAAUGUAUCACUGCAAUAAUCAUCCACACGGCAGCUCCUGCAUAUUUGCAUAGUUAAACCCAGCUGGUGAGUUUUUUGUCAGGGAAGUGUACGGUGCACCUGCAGUAAUGUUCUUCAUUGGUCAUUAAACAGACAGGUGCACGGUCACGCUCCGCUGGACAGAAAUACUCUGAAGUGCUGUGUAACAGUCUGCAAGUGAUGCAGAUGACAAGCAGUGUGUUCCCUGUCACUUCUUCUUGUACAUUUUAAUGAGAUGAUGUAACAAUCUGUACACAGAUAUAACUUCUAAAAAUCAAACUUUUUCUGCACACGGCAUAUAUAUAAACUGUAUAUAUACAGUAGUAGAAGUGCAUGCAUUUGUUUCCUGACCCAGAAGAAUGCUGAGACUUCCUGUCUGAAUCCCAAACUAAGCAAAGGUUUAAAGACAAGGUGAGGGGAAUAGGAAGUGUGUGCAAAUAAAAAAAAUAAAAAAAGGGAAGAAAUAAUAACUGUAUGAGACAAAUAAAAGUGAUAGUAAUAUAAAGACAUAUUUUUGAGAAAAGUAUCUCCUGGAUUUCUUACUAGCAUAAUUAAUAACCAGAGACAGCAGACAUGAAUGACGAAAUGUUGAAGCACUGCAAACAGAAUCACGACUGGUUGAUGUUUGGAGCUGAUGCUGAAAGUCAUCAAAGUCUAAUUUAACAGUGAUUGAUAUGAUUGUUAAAAUCAUAUCAAUCAUUGUUAAAUUUGACUUUGUUGCCAUGGAAAUGACCCAAAAAGCCUGUCUUGUGUAAUACUGUAUAUUCACUGCAGGCCAGUGUUCAAUGUCUUUCCAAAUUAUUGCUGCAACAUCCAUGAAUAUGGUUUUGUUAUUUAUUUCCCAGUACAUGAAGUAAGUGGUUUCAUCUCCAACUUUCCCUGGAGCAGCACUCGUUAGGACUGUUAAUGAUGAUGAACUUGCUCCACUAGGCUGAAUAAUAUCAGGGGAUUUUACUUUGAAAACACUCAUUCAUUUCCUUCACUGGUCCUAAUGUUCUCUGGCCACUGACUGGUCCUGGUGAUGCAGAUGAACCACAUUAUUCAUGCCUCGCCCUCAGCUGAGCAAGUGAUUCUCAUUAGCCUGAAUAGACUGCAUUUUUCAUUAGCCGCAUGAUUGUUUUGCUGCAAGAGAUUAGUUGUGAAUCAUGAGCGUACACAACACAAUAUGCCGUCCUUCUGAAAGCGCUUUCAUCUGGAACUCACAGGGUGAUUAAACUACAGUCCAGGAUGAAAUUACUACAAGUCAGUACAAGUACUGUACUGUGCUGUACUGUACUUCAAACCCAUCAUCCAUGUUUCUCAUUUCUGAAACCUGAAAAAGAGGAGUGUGUUUCGGUCAGAUUUCAUAAACCACAUUUUUUCUUUUUGUUUUAAUUUCUUCUCAUAGCUCCCAUCACCUCAUUAGGAGUUAUAUUGCAGUAGUUCAGUGAUCAUCACCUGGUGUCCCACGGGCCGAUUCUGACCCACUGAAACAUCCAAUCUGGCCCAUGUCUAGAUUCCAAAAUAAACAACACAUAAUAAUGUUAGACCAAAAUGUGAUUUUAAUUCCACUUUAUUUGAGUGUCCGGCCUCCAGGUUUACUGUCCAGAAGAAUUCUGGCCCUCUGACAAUUACAGUUGGUGACACUUCUAUAGUUGAACUCCAGCCCAAGCUGAGAAUCAAAAAUCAAAAAAAAAAAAACUGAACUGGCCGCAUGUGACCCCCGGUCCUUAGUUUGUCCAUGCCUGUCCUACACCAUAUAGAAAAGACAAUUACAUGCUGUAUGUCUUUAUCUCAUUUUGUUGUACACCAAACUUAAGUUGCCCAUAGGUUGCACGUUUUACAAUAGAAAGAAAACAAUUGUAAUUGUUUUAUACUUAUAUUCUAAGAUGUUUUCACACAUAAAAAUCCGAGAGGGUUUGUUUUUACACAUUGGAAAACUUGGAAAACAUAUUGUUUUUCAAGUUAUGGCUGUCCUUUAUACAUUGGCCCACAUGCCUGUGUAGAUUCUGACACAAUGAAGAAACAUUUAAGGACAAGUAACAAUCCACACCGGCUGAAUCCACGCCUCUCCCUCAGUCGUAUUCCCCUGAGAUACUCUGCUGUAAGUGACUGCCCUCUGCUGUCUGUACCAGUCACACCUGCUGGAGCCAACUUCAUAUUUUGCAUAUUUUAUUCCUCGCAGCUGAAAGCACCAUCUGGGACGGGUCACUUAGAAAACUCAAGUGUCUAAUUUUAUCAAAGUUUGUUAACAGCUGCUUUUUGAUUGUGCACUGUAAGAUGUGAUCAUUAAACUGUGAAAACAUGACACGCAGUAGGCAAAGAAAAGUAAAGCCCUGGAGAUGACAUGACACUUUUUGUCACAGUUAAAUCUGUUCUCUUCCCUGGGUAACUUUAUAGUUGUCUGCAGCUGAAAUCUGGACCUAAGCAGAUUUUUCACUUUUUUUAAAUAAUUAGAUAUGAGCUAUAGAAAAAGUUAUUAUUCAAAACAAUAAAAUACUUUUUGAUAUGAAUUCAAAUCAGUAGUAAUAGUACUAAAUGAAUUAGUAGUAGUAGUACUGAUAUUAAAUACUGAACUUUAAAGGCUACAGCUGCUCACUGAUGUUUUGUAUUAUUUAGUCGCGAGUCUGAGGAGUUUUAACAAACGAUUCGGACCAAUCGUGACAUCAACUAUGCAGGCCUCUUACGUACAGCAGAGGGAGACAUUGAUUUUCCCUUCUAAGACAUCAUUCUAUGAGACCAAUGAAAAUGUAAUUCUAAUAAAAUGGAACAAUAAAUUGUAAGUAAUGAAGCGUUACUAGUCAGACGCAUUUUAUUUUUGAUAGAGAUUACUUAGUUUGUUAUGUGUAAUUUACACGAAGUAAUGGCAAUUACUAUUAAUAACGUAAUGGCAUCAAAGGCACAUAAGUGAUGAGAAAAAAAGAUAAAAGAAUGACAUCAGAUAUUAUGAGACAAGAAACGAACUUUGUAUGACAGAAGUCUGUCUUCUUCUGUCAGCCAUGGGCCAUUUGAAUCAGUUGGCCCUAUAGUUAGAAUGGGAACCGUGUCCAUGAAGUCACUCAAAAAGUGACUCAAAGUGACUAAACACAAAGUCAGGUGAGUAGCUUGAUGGCGUCACUCCCGUUCGGUUUUAGCCACGCCCCGCUUUGUUACUGUGGAAACCCAAGAGACUGACGGGAGUAGUGAGGCAGAUGGUCGCAGUCAGCCGCAAAGGUUAGCAGUUGUGCUAACCCAAAUUCAGAGUUUUGUUUCUGCUUCGUCAAUGCUUGUUUACAACCGGAAAGUGAUGCCAAUUCACCUUUACACUUAUGAACUCUCAGGUUAUUGUGUAACUCAUUGGGUUUCCACAAACAUUGGCUCGGACUUGCCUCAAAGUAAACUCGGUCUCCAGCUUACCCACAGUCCCACAGUCCAAAUACAGCAGGCACAUGACCUCUGCCAUACACUG